rnacentral:rRNA from 1 species
GUCGAGAAUAAUUCACAAUGGACGAAAGUCUGAUGGUGCAACGCCGCGUGGAGGAUGACGGUCUUCGGAUUGUAAACUCCUGUCAUCCGGGAGUAAGACCUGGCUGUGAAUAGCAGACAGGGUUGAUAGUACCGGAAGAGGAAGGGACGGCUAACUGCGUGCCAGCAGCCGCGGUAAUACGAAGGUCCCGAGCGUUGUUCGGAAUCACUGGGCGUAAAGGGAGCGUAGGCGGCGUGGUAAGUCAGAUGUGAAGUCCCGGGGCUCAACCCCGGAACUGCAUCCGAUACUGCCGUGCUAUAGGAUUGGAGAGGUAGCUGGAAUUCUUGGUGUAGUAGUGAAAUGCGUGGAGAUCAAGAGGAACACUCGUGGCGAAAGCGAGCUACUGGACAAUAUCUGACGCUGAGGCUCGAAGGCCAGGGUAGCGAAAGGGAUUAGAUACCCGGGUAGUCC